GCUAGUAUAGUUCAAUGGUAGAACAAAUCUUUGGUAAGGAUUAGACUUCAGUUCGAUUCUGUGUAUUAGCUCAA
rnacentral:tRNA from 1 species